CCCAAUUACAAUGUAACAAUUUUUAACAUUCUCUAAAAAACAUUGAGUGAACAAUGGAUAAUUCUAAGGGAGAUGUUUGGGUCUUGGGAGCAAAGCAGGUCAGGGCCAGAGACACAAAUUUGGAAAAUUUCUACAUAGACUGUUAAGCGAUGAGAAUGGCUGAGUUUUCCUAGAAAAGAUGGCAAAGAGAAAAGAGCAGGGAUGGGAGGUGUGAACUUCGGCAAGCACCGGGUAAGAAGCGGGAGGGGGUGCAGGAAAGGAGAGGAGAAGCCGGAGUCCCCAAGUGCUGCAGACAAGGUCGAGCCUGGCCCGGAGCUGCGGAGGGAGGGUUGGAGUCCGGGUCCCGGAGGGGAUGGGGGAGAAAGCAGACUUCUGGCCGGAGGGGCUGGGAAUGGGUGAUGAGGAAAGAGCAGGCGGGCUCGCAGCUACCGUUCCAGAGUGGCGACACGCAAACAAAGGCAGGAUCUGGGGGAGAGGCGUCCGACCUGGACACAGGGACCAGCGAAGGCCAAAAGAGGCAGGAGGGGGCCCCAGAGUGAUCUGAUAACAACAGUUUUCGAAGCGCGUAUAAAUGUGACCUCAUCUGAUCCUGGAACCGCCGGGCCGUUCUCUCCAUUUUGCAGAUGAGGAAACUGAGGCAGAGCAGCCCACACCGGGUGAGAAUGGACUUGCACCGUCUUCCUGCGAGCACUCCAGUUACGAGGAGGACGGAAAGAGCUUUUACAAUUUUUUUCCUGAAAUUCUCUUUUCUGAAGAGGUUGAAAAUGUCUAUUUGUUGAAUCGAAGAGUUAACAAACAAGAGCGCGGGAUGGGCGACGAAGGCGCGGAAGGAGGAGGAAGCGCGGGCGGAGGGCCGAGGGCCCCUUCUCCCAGCUCCCGCGGAGCCCGAUCCGGGGGCUCCUCCCCCGCCCCUCCCGCUCCGCGCAUAAACACACACUCCGACACAGGGAAACCAGCGGGGCCCCGCCUUCCCUCCUCCGCACGUGCGGGAGCCACGCGCCUGUCGGCCCCGCCUGCGCCUGCGCCCGCGCCUGCGCCCUUCCUGCCUUCUGGAAUGCCCUCCUCCCUCCGCGUCCCCCCCCCCGCCCGCCGAGCCAGCCGGGUUCUCAGGUCACGAACCCGUCACAAUGACUAAUGAACGCCAUCGGCUUGCUCCUGCUGGAGAUGCGGCCUCCAGUGCGGUGCCUUCCCAUCCCAGGGCGGUGGGUAGGGCCGCAGGAGGCACCCACGGGAGCUGGCCAGGGCGGCCGCUCCCGUGCUGAUCCUAGCGAGGCUGGCAGUAGGA
rnacentral:lncRNA from 1 species